rnacentral:tRNA from 1 species
GGAUUGUGACUCAGUGGUAGAGUGCUUGCCUAGCACGUGUGAGGCACUGGGUUCAAUCCUCAGCACCA